CCAAUAGCGUAUAUUAAAGUUGUUGCAGUUAAAAAGCUCGUAGUUGAAUUUCGGGGUUAGUAGGUUGGUCAUGCCUCUGGUAUGUACUGGUCUCACUGAUUCCUCCUUCCUGAUGAGCCGUAAUGCCAUUAAUUUGGUGUUGCGGGGAAUUUGGACUGUUACUUUGAAAAAAUUAGAGUGUUUAAAGCAAGCUAACGCUUGAAUACAUUAGCAUGGAAUAAUGAAAUAGGACGUUCGAUCCUAUUUUGUUGGUUUCUAGGAUUGACGUAAUGAUUAAUAGGGAUAGUUGGGGGCAUUAGUAUUCAAUUGUCAGAGGUGAAAUUCUUGGAUUUAUUGAAGACUAACUACUGCGAAAGCAUUUGCCAAGGAUGUUUUCAUUAAUCAAGAACGAAAGUUAGGGGAUCGAAGACGAUCAGAUACCGUCGUAGUCUUAACCAUAAACUAUGCCGACUAGGGAUCGGAUGAUGUUAAUUUUUUAAUGACCCAUUCGGCGCCUUACG
rnacentral:rRNA from 1 species